CUACGGGUCGCAGCAGUAGGGAAUCUUAGACAAUGGGGGAAACCCUGAUCUAGCCAUGCCGCGUGAGUGAUGAAGGCCUUAGGGUUGUAAAGCUCUUUCGCUGGGGAAGAUAAUGACGGUACCCAGUAAAGAAACCCCGGCUAACUCCGUGCCAGCAGCCGCGGUAGUACGGAGGGGGUUAGCGUUGUUCGGAAUUACUGGGCGUAAAGCGCGCGUAGGCGGGCUAUUAAGUCAGGGGUGAAAUCCCGGGGCUCACCCCCGGAACUGCCUUUGAUACUGGUAGUCUUGAGUUCGAGAGAGGUGAGUGGAAUUCCGAGUGUAGAGGUGAAAUUCGUAGAUAUUCGGAGGAACAUCAGUGGCGAAGGCGACUCACUGGCUCGAUACUGACGCUGAGGUGCGAAAGUGUGGGGAGCAAACAGGAUUAGAUACCCCUGUAGUC
rnacentral:rRNA from 1 species